rnacentral:lncRNA from 1 species
GAAAAUAUAGCUUAGUAUUUUUAAACCUGGUAUUGGAGAAUAUACUUUUUGAAUUGAAAACGGAUAUAUUUGCAUCGCUCCUGUGUUUGUUUCUGUCUUUGUGCAGAGAACAGAGAGAGGAUAUGAGCAGAGAAAGGAAGAAUGGAUGCUGCCUAUAUGAAAUCAUGGACAGCCGAUGAUCAGACAGCAGCCAGGAGGAGGAGCGCAGCAGGUACGAGCUCAUGAUGGGCUCGCAGAAGAUUUCUCCUCAUCUGACUGAAGGUAAAAGCUCCAGUAAAUACGCUCAGAUUGACAUCACAGCGACAGAGGCGGCUCACAGAGCGGGUUCCCAGCAUGCACUGGGGCGAGAGGAAGGCCUGCAGAGACUGGAGCAGCAGAGGAGACCACGAGGUCUUCCUCACGAUGAAGAUCGACUCUUCUCUUGACAAACUGACCAAAACACUUGCAUCAGUCGAGACAGUAAAACACAUAAUGUAGUGUAGUGUAUAGUAUAGUGUUGUAGUAUGUAGUAUAGUACAGUGUCUUCAGUCUCGUUUCAUCAUGUGGAAGUCACUGUGUAGUGGAUAGUGCACG